UACGGAGGGUGCAAGCGUUGUCCGGAUUUAUUGGGUUUAAAGGGUGCGUAGGCGGUUAAUUAAGUCAGUGGUGAAAGCCCGGAGCUCAACUCCGGAACUGCCAUUGAAACUGUUUAGCUGGAGUAUGAGAGAGGUGAGUGGAAUUCCCAGUGUAGAGGUGAAAUUCGUAGAUAUUGGGAAGAACACCGGUGGCGAAGGCGGCUCACUGGCUCAUUACUGACGCUCAUGCGCGACAGCGUGGGGAUCAAACAGG
rnacentral:rRNA from 1 species